CCCGCAGGAAGGAAGGCGGCGCGCGCCCCGGCCCGCCGAGCCGUUCCUGGCCGCCGCGCGCCGCAUUGUCUCGGCGUUCCGGGCCCCGCGCGCCGCGCCCAUACCCCGCCCCCAGCCGCCCGAGGCCCGGACUCCGACCCGCGGCCGGCGAGGGUGCGUGUGGAGGUGCGCCCGGCCGGAGUCCGGCCCCGUGCGCGCCAACCGCCCCCCGCCCACGGCGCGGAGCACCUCUGGGCUCCCCACUUGAACGGCGGGCCGCGCCGGCCCAUGAGGAAAGCGGGGUGCAGAGCUCGCCCCCUGCCGGACGAUGCGCUCCGCCCGCGGGCACCCUGCGGGGACCACAGCCGGGCGUCAGAAGUGACCUGACUGUGAAUGAGCCUCAUUUCGGUUCCAGUUUCAGUAUGGUGGUGGCAUGACACCGUCACAUAUGAGCUAAGGACUCCUGUCGCCUCAACCCUUGCUACUCAAAGUGUGGUCCUCAGAUCAGCUGCCCUGGCAUCACCUGGGAGCCUGGCAGAAGUGCAGAACCUUGGACCUGGUGAAUCAGAGCCUGCUCUUCAGCAAGAUCCUCAGGCAAUGUGUUUGCACUUUACAAUUUGAGAAGCAUUGUUCUAGCAUACGUAUGGAUACAGCAUAAGCGAGGAGUUGAUAUUCCCACUUGUCAGAAGCAGUAUUCCAAGUUAGGUAAACUAUACUGAUAGGACUCAAUAAAACCUGAAGGGUUAAGGUUUUUUCUGGUCCUAAGAUUUAGGAAAGUUCCUUUCGUUUCUGAAGUGCCAUGCUGUAAUAUACUCUGUCUAGCUG